rnacentral:rRNA from 1 species
AGAGUUUGAUCCUGGCUCAGAUUGAACGCUGGCGGCAUGCCUUACACAUGCAAGUCGAACGGCAGCACGAGAGCUUGCUCUUGGUGGCGAGUGGCGAACGGGUGAGUAAUAUAUCGGAACGUACCCUAGAGUGGGGGAUAACGUAGCGAAAGUUACGCUAAUACCGCAUACGAUCUACGGAUGAAAGUGGGGGAUCGCAAGACCUCAUGCUCAUGGAGCGGCCGAUAUCUGAUUAGCUAGUUGGUGGGGUAAAAGCUCACCAAGGCGACGAUCAGUAGCUGGUCUGAGAGGACGACCAGCCACACUGGAACUGAGACACGGUCCAGACUCCUACGGGAGGCAGCAGUGGGGAAUUUUGGACAAUGGGCGCAAGCCUGAUCCAGCAAUGCCGCGUGAGUGAAGAAGGCCUUCGGGUUGUAAAGCUCUUUUGUCAGGGAAGAAACGGUGGACUCUAAUACAGAUCACUAAUGACGGUACCUGAAGAAUAAGCACCGGCUAACUACGUGCCAGCAGCCGCGGUAAUACGUAGGGUGCAAGCGUUAAUCGGAAUUACUGGGCGUAAAGCGUGCGCAGGCGGUUGUGCAAGACAGAUGUGAAAUCCCCGGGCUCAACCUGGGAAUUGCAUUUGUGACUGCACGGCUAGAGUGUGUCAGAGGGGGGUAGAAUCCCACGUGUAGCAGUGAAAUGCGUAGAGAUGUGGAGGAAUACCGAUGGCGAAGGCAGCCCCCUGGGAUAACACUGACGCUCAUGCACGAAAGCGUGGGGAGCAAACAGGAUUAGAUACCCUGGUAGUCCACGCCCUAAACGAUGUCUACUAGUUGUCGGGUCUUAAUUGACUUGGUAACGCAGCUAACGCGUGAAGUAGACCGCCUGGGGAGUACGGUCGCAAGAUUAAAACUCAAAGGAAUUGACGGGGACCCGCACAAGCGGUGGAUGAUGUGGAUUAAUUCGAUGCAACGCGAAAAACCUUACCUACCCUUGACAUGUCUGGAAUCCUUGAGAGAUCAGGGAGUGCUCGAAAGAGAAUCAGAACACAGGUGCUGCAUGGCUGUCGUCAGCUCGUGUCGUGAGAUGUUGGGUUAAGUCCCGCAACGAGCGCAACCCUUGUCAUUAGUUGCUACGAAAGGGCACUCUAAUGAGACUGCCGGUGACAAACCGGAGGAAGGUGGGGAUGACGUCAAGUCCUCAUGGCCCUUAUGGGUAGGGCUUCACACGUCAUACAAUGGUACAUACAGAGGGCCGCCAACCCGCGAGGGGGAGCUAAUCCCAGAAAGUGUAUCGUAGUCCGGAUUGUAGUCUGCAACUCGACUACAUGAAGUUGGAAUCGCUAGUAAUCGCGGAUCAGCAUGUCGCGGUGAAUACGUUCCCGGGUCUUGUACAUACCGCCCGUCACACCAUGGGAGCGGGUUUCACCAGAAGUGGGUAGCCUAACCGCAAGGAGGGCGCUCACCACGGUGGGAUUCGUGACUGGGGUGAAGUCGUAACAAGGUA